AGUUUUUUAAAAUACUCUGGCACUGAAUCAGAGAAAUUAUAGACCGAAUGUCCUUUUACUGAAGAGGGCACUCCACUCCUUCCUCUAUAGGCCAAAGUCAUUUCCUUUGACAAACAUCAUGUCCUAAGGACCAGUGACCUCAACCUCUCUCUUUGUGUGGGGAUCCAAACUGGGUCAAAUGGAACAUGGCAGCACCGGAGAGCUUUGCCUCAUGGACUUUCCUUGGAUCCUGCCUAAAGAAAAAUAAGUGAGACAAUUCAUUUCCAGGACUAUACAGAUGCAGUUAUUUGGACCCAACCCUGGAACAGAAUAUUUUAAAAAUCUUUUGGAAAGCUUAAAAAAGAGGGAAUGAGAUUAGGUAAGCUGGUGGCAACGAAAAGAACCUCUGAAAUGGCCGCAAGGGAUGGGUGCAGG
rnacentral:lncRNA from 1 species